GGUUAAGCGACUAAGCGUACACGGUGGAUGCCCUGGCAGUCAGAGGCGAUGAAGGACGUGCUAAUCUGCGAAAAGCGUCGGUAAGGUGAUAUGAACCGUUAUAGCCGGCGAUGUCCGAAUGGGGAAACCCAGUGCAAUUCGUUGCACUAUCGUUAACUGAAUACAUAGGUUAACGAGGCGAACCGGGGGAACUGAAACAUCUAAGUACCCCGAGGAAAAGAAAUCAACCGAGAUUCCCCCAGUAGCGGCGAGCGAACGGGGAGCAGCCCAGAGUCUGAAUCAGCUUGUGUGUUAGUGGAACGGUCUGGAAAGUCCGACGGUACAGGGUGAUAGUCCCGUACACCAAAAUGCACAGGUUGUGAACUCGAAGAGUAGGGCGGGACACGUGGUAUCCUGUCUGAAUAUGGGGGGACCAUCCUCCAAGGCUAAAUACUCCUGACUGACCGAUAGUGAACCAGUACCGUGAGGGAAAGGCGAAAAGAACCCCGGCGAGGGGAGUGAAAAAGAACCUGAAACCGUGUACGUACAAGCAGUGGGAGCACCUUCGGGUGUGACUGCGUACCUUUUGUAUAAUGGGUCAGCGACUUAUAUUCUGUAGCAAGGUUAACCGUAUAGGGGAGCCGCAGGGAAACCGAGUCUUAACUGGGCGUUAAGUUGCAGGGUAUAGACCCGAAACCCGGUGAUCUAGCCAUGGGCAGGUUGAAGGUUGGGUAACACUAACUGGAGGACCGAACCGACUAAUGUUGAAAAAUUAGCGGAUGACUUGUGGCUGGGGGUGAAAGGCCAAUCAAACCGGGAGAUAGCUGGUUCUCCCCGAAAGCUAUUUAGGUAGCGCCUCGUGAACUCAUCUUCGGGGGUAGAGCACUGUUUCGGCUAGGGGGUCAUCCCGACUUACCAACCCGAUGCAAACUACGAAUACCGAAGAAUGUUAUCACGGGAGACACACGGCGGGUGCUAACGUCCGUCGUGAAGAGGGAAACAACCCAGACCGCCAGCUAAGGUCCCAAAGUCAUGGUUAAGUGGGAAACGAUGUGGGAAGGCACAGACAGCCAGGAUGUUGGCUUAGAAGCAGCCAUCAUUUAAAGAAAGCGUAAUAGCUCACUGGUCGAGUCGGCCUGCGCGGAAGAUGUAACGGGGCUAAACCAUGCACCGAAGCUGCGGCAGCGACACUAUGUGUUGUUGGGUAGGGGAGCGUUCUGUAAGCCUGCGAAGGUGACCUGUGAGGGUUGCUGGAGGUAUCAGAAGUGCGAAUGCUGACAUAAGUAACGAUAAAGCGGGUGAAAAGCCCGCUCGCCGGAAGACCAAGGGUUCCUGUCCAACGUUAAUCGGGGCAGGGUGAGUCGACCCCUAAGGCGAGGCCGAAAGGCGUAGUCGAUGGGAAACAGGUUAAUAUUCCUGUACUUGGUGUUACUGCGAAGGGGGGACGGAGAAGGCUAUGUUAGCCGGGCGACGGUUGUCCCGGUUUAAGCAUGUAGGCUGAUUGUCCAGGCAAAUCCGGAUAAUCAAGGCUGAGGUGUGAUGACGAGGCACUACGGUGCUGAAGUAACAAAUGCCCUGCUUCCAGGAAAAGCCUCUAAGCAUCAGGUAACAUCAAAUCGUACCCCAAACCGACACAGGUGGUCAGGUAGAGAAUACCAAGGCGCUUGAGAGAACUCGGGUGAAGGAACUAGGCAAAAUGGUGCCGUAACUUCGGGAGAAGGCACGCUGGUGUGUAGGUGAAGUCCCUGCGGAUGGAGCUGAGACCAGUCGAAGAUACCAGCUGGCUGCAACUGUUUAUUAAAAACACAGCACUGUGCAAACACGAAAGUGGACGUAUACGGUGUGACGCCUGCCCGGUGCCGGAAGGUUAAUUGAUGGGGUUAUCCGUAAGGAGAAGCUCUUGAUCGAAGCCCCGGUAAACGGCGGCCGUAACUAUAACGGUCCUAAGGUAGCGAAAUUCCUUGUCGGGUAAGUUCCGACCUGCACGAAUGGCGUAAUGAUGGCCAGGCUGUCUCCACCCGAGACUCAGUGAAAUUGAACUCGCUGUGAAGAUGCAGUGUACCCGCGGCAAGACGGAAAGACCCCGUGAACCUUUACUAUAGCUUGACACUGAACAUUGAGCCUUGAUGUGUAGGAUAGGUGGGAGGCUUUGAAGCGUGGACGCCAGUCUGCGUGGAGCCAACCUUGAAAUACCACCCUUUAAUGUUUGAUGUUCUAACGUUGGCCCCUUAUCGGGGUUGCGGACAGUGUCUGGUGGGUAGUUUGACUGGGGCGGUCUCCUCCCAAAGCGUAACGGAGGAGCACGAAGGUUAGCUAAUCCUGGUCGGACAUCAGGAGGUUAGUGCAAUGGCAUAAGCUAGCUUGACUGCGAGCGUGACGGCGCGAGCAGGUGCGAAAGCAGGUCAUAGUGAUCCGGUGGUUCUGAAUGGAAGGGCCAUCGCUCAACGGAUAAAAGGUACUCCGGGGAUAACAGGCUGAUACCGCCCAAGAGUUCAUAUCGACGGCGGUGUUUGGCACCUCGAUGUCGGCUCAUCACAUCCUGGGGCUGAAGUAGGUCCCAAGGGUAUGGCUGUUCGCCAUUUAAAGUGGUACGCGAGCUGGGUUUAGAACGUCGUGAGACAGUUCGGUCCCUAUCUGCCGUGGGCGCUGGAGAAUUGAGGGGGGCUGCUCCUAGUACGAGAGGACCGGAGUGGACGCAUCACUGGUGUUCGGGUUGUCAUGCCAAUGGCACUGCCCGGUAGCUAAAUGCGGAAGAGAUAAGUGCUGAAAGCAUCUAAGCACGAAACUUGCCCCGAGAUGAGUUCUCCCUGAGACUUUAAGUCUCCUGAAGGAACGUUGAAGACGACGACGUUGAUAGGCCGGGUGUGUAAGCGCAGCGAUGCGUUGAGCUAACCGGUACUAAUGAACCGUGAGGCUUAACCUU
rnacentral:rRNA from 1 species